UCACAAAACGUGUGAACCUACUCGUAUUUGAGAUGCAUUGACAGUAUAUAUAUAUAUAUGUAUGUAUGUAUAUAUAUAUAUAUAUGUACAUUAUUCAUUCACUGUGACAUUACAACAAGCCGAGUAGCGAAGAGCGAAGUUUGCAUUACAGGCUGUAAUUGACAGCAGACAACCGGCCGUAGAACAUUUUCAUUAGUUGGUGUUGUGGACUGUUAUAGUUUGAAGUUAUUAGUAAACCAAAUUAAGAAAAGGAAAGAUGAAGGAUGGAAGACUUAUUCAAGUCAAGAUCUGUAACUGGGAAUAAAGUGGAAUGAUAAUCAAUUGCAGGUCUAAUGCGGAAUAUGUCUUCAAAAGGAUUCUCCAGGCUUCAUUAUUUGAUGAUUACUUUAAAAAACAGUUGGACCGGCAGAAAUGGCAGGAAUAUAUUCGGCUAUGGAUUUUAAAACAAUAUUCUAUCUAGAAACAUCCGUUCAAGUACUGCAGUGUGUAUAAUAUGAUCCCUUGUCUACCCCUCGUCAAAAGAAACCCGUGAGUCAGACAGUGGAUUCCAGGCUGAACCAGUGGUCCUAAGUGUUCACACCCUAAAAAGAAGGACGAGUAUGAUGCCGAGUUCCGAAGGAUGUCUAGGUCGGCGUCAUGGGUGUUUACGCGGUACGGACGAAUGAUUAUCGCCAGCUUUAAGAGAUUCCGCGGUCGGCGUCAACUGCAACCCGGCAAACGUAGAAUAUGAUGGAGUUGUGCUACACGGGUCGUAAUGACACCUGUCAUUGACACCACCCUUCCUAGCAACAUCACUGAUGAGGCUCUUAUCGAGGCUGCCGAUAGUCAUAGCUGAGAUGAAUUCCAGCGUAGGGGCUGUCAGGGAAGUGGCAGCUCAUCUUAGCGCAUCGGACACGUUGUCGCUAAACAAUUCCUGGGAUUUCCGUCGGAACCCGUUGACCCAAAUACAAUCCACAGAGGAUCUAUCGGAUUUCUACAGGCGACUUGGGGAUACCCAACCUACGGUCUCUCCCAUAAGUAUUGGUUCCUUCCACUCGGGCCUGUCACCCAUCCUCUUAUCCAGGGGGUCACAAUUCACCGUUGAAGCGGAACCGAUACCUCUCAGCUCUCACCACUUAUAAUCCCGAAUGGCAUUCCAGGGAAUCGGUGAGGGUUCUUGAGACGGUCCGUCUCGUUGCGAGUGAUGUGGUGAACACCACUAACCAAGCACUCGGAGCCGGUGACGUAUUACUCACCGUCGCCCCGUCCGCUUGGAAGGUAGUCACACGCCUUCUGCGUGACGUCCUACUCACGACCGCCACCAGGAUGGAGGAAGCUAGGCAGCGGAACGCACCUGACGUUUUCCGGCUUGGUUCCAGCGGCUGGUAUCAUGACCUAUUGCUACUUGUGUGGUGUUGGCACAGAAUGUCAGUGUAUAUAAUGUUUGUUAAUAUGUUUGAACAUAUUAAAUUAGUGUUUUACUAAAA